rnacentral:rRNA from 1 species
GAUGAACGCUAGCGGCAGGCCUAACACAUGCAAGUCGAGGGGUAGAACACUUCGGUGUUUGAGACCGGCGCACGGGUGCGUAACGCGUAUGCAAUCUACCUUGUACAGGGGAAUAGCCCAGAGAAAUUUGGAUUAAUGCCCCAUAGUAUAUAACCUUCGCAUGUUGGUUAUAUUAAAGUUCCAACGGUACAAGAUGAGCAUGCGUCCCAUUAGUUAGUUGGUAAGGUAACGGCUUACCAAGACGAUGAUGGGUAGGGGUCCUGAGAGGGAGAUCCCCCACACUGGUACUGAGACACGGACCAGACUCCUACGGGAGGCAGCAGUGAGGAAUAUUGGUCAAUGGUCGCAAGACUGAACCAGCCAUGCCGCGUGCAGGAAGACGGUCCUAUGGAUUGUAAACUGCUUUUAUACAGGAAGAAACCCUCCCACGUGUGGGAGCUUGACGGUACUGUAGGAAUAAGGAUCGGCUAACUCCGUGCCAGCAGCCGCGGUAAACA